GUAACAGGAGUAUGUAUGUAUGGGCCAUGGACCGAUCGCUCUACGGGAACAACUUAAAAAAACAACAACAAAAACACACUCAUUCAAUAUUCAAAUCUUCGCGUGAUGUCAUUCGUGGUUAAAUCAUAAUCUAAGCCAGUGCUUCCAAACCUUUUUGUGACAUGCCCAACAUUUGCAACAUUUCUAAAAAUUUUAUGCCCCCAAAUACAUAAUUUUUAACAUAAAAAAAUUGAUUUGUUCACUUAAGAAACAUAAAUUAUUGGUUUUAGGAAGAAAUCACUAUGAAAUUGUUAUCAAAACACGGUAAAUAAUAUUUCAAGACAUUCAAUAAGAAACUGAAAUUCAAAUUCAAAAUAAUUUUAAUACAGAUUUUCUUUAUUAAUUUCUUCGAUCAACAAUAGUAACUAGAUUUCGGGUCGGUGCAUAAAAUCCGUCUCGUCAAAUAACAGCGCACUUGAAAUGUGAGCUCUUAUUUUGUUUAGUUCACUUCAGACACAGCCAAUUUCAACCCGUCUCACAAUACCGCAGUGUGUAUUCAAAAGUUGCAAAAAUAAGGCCCGAAAAAGCAAUUUAACGGCCGGAAUAUCUUACUUUCGCUUUCCUAGCAAUCACGUGUGCAAAAUGGAUCUCGAUAGUCGCCAGAGAAACAAGAGAUGACUUUUAUAAGCCAGCUAAGAUCUCCGCUUAUUGACACUGGACAUCUUUGCCUUCCGUGCUCACGGCUACUGAAACGUGGCCGAAACAUUGUAAUAAAAAUACCACGCUUGAAACCGUUUAAA